CACGGGGAGGUAGUGACGAAAAAUAACGAUACGGGACUCAUCCGAGGCCCCGUAAUCGGAAUGAGUAAACUCUAAAUCCUUUUCCAAGGACCCAUUGGAGGGCAAGUCUGGUGCCAGCAGCCGCGGUAAUUCCAGCUCCAAUAGCGUAUAUUAAAGUUGUUGCGGUUAAAAAGCUCGUAGUCGAAUCUGUGUCCCGCGCCGCUGGUUCAUCGCUCGCGGUGUUCAACUGGCGUGUCUCGCGGGACGUCCUGCCGGUGGGCUUUUCGAAUUGGUGCCUAUAUGGUAUCAUUCGUGGCCCAACUCGUAUCCGUUUUGCGCGGGUGCGAAUCCCAUCGCGGUGCUCUUUAUUGAGUGUCGAGGUGGGCCGGCACGUUUACUUUGAACAAAUUAGAGUGCUUAAAGCAGGCCAAUUUUGCCUGAAUAUUGUGUGCAUGGAAUAAUGGAAUAGGACCUCGGUUCUAUUUUGUUGGUUUUCGGAACCCCGAGGUAAUGAUUAAUAGGAACGGAUGGGGGCAUUCGUAUUGCGACGUUAGAGGUGAAAUUCUUGGAUCGUCGCAAGACGGACAGAAGCGAAAGCAUUUGCCAAAAACGUUUUCAUUGAUCAAGAACGAAAGUUAGAGGUUCGAAGGCGAUCAGAUACCGCCCUAGUUCUAACCAUAAACGAUGCCAGCUAGCGAUCCGCCGACGUUCCUCCGAUGACUCGGCGGGCAGCUUCCGGGAAACCAAAGCUUUUGGGUUCCGGGGGAAGUAUGGUUGCAAAGCUGAAACUUAAAGGAAUUGACGGAAGGGCACCACCAGGAGUGGAGCCUGCGGCUUAAUUUGACUCAACACGGGAAACCUCACCAGGCCC
rnacentral:rRNA from 1 species